rnacentral:rRNA from 1 species
GACGAACGCUGGCGGCGUGCUUAACACAUGCCAGUCGAACGGAAAGGCCCUGCUUUUGUGGGGUGCUCGAGUGGCGAACGGGUGAGUAACACGUGAGUAACCUGCCCUUGACUUUGGGAUAACUUCAGGAAACUGGGGCUAAUACCGGAUAGGAGCUCCUGCUGCAUGGGGGGGGUUGGAAAGUUUCGGCGGUUGGGGAUGGACUCGCGGCUUAUCAGCUUGUUGGUGGGGUAGUGGCUUACCAAGGCUUUGACGGGUAGCCGGCCUGAGAGGGUGACCGGCGACAUUGGGACUGAGAUAGGGCCCAGAAUCCUACGGGCGGCAGCAGUGGGGAAUAUUGCACAAUGGGCGGAAGCGUGAUGCAGCAACGCCGCGUGCGGGAUGACGGCCUUCGGGUUGUAAACCGCUUUCGCCUGUGACGAAGCGUGAGUGACGGUAAUGGGUAAAGAAGCACCGGCUAACUACGUG